rnacentral:rRNA from 1 species
CAGUAGCCGCGGGAAUACGAGGGGGGCAAGCGUUGUUCGGAAUUAUUGGGCGUAAAGGGUGCGUAGGCGGUUUGAUAAGUCUUGUGUGAAAUCUAUGGGCUCAACCCAUAGUCUGCAUAGGAAACUGUCGGGCUUGAGAGUGGGAGAGGUGAGUGGAAUUUCCGGUGUAGCGGUGAAAUGCGUAGAUAUCGGAGGGAACACCUGUGGCGAAAGCGGCUCACUGGACCAUUUCUGACGCUGAUGCACGAAAGCUAGGGGAGCAAACAGGAUUAGAUACCCCCGUAGUCCCUGUCUCUUAUAC